rnacentral:rRNA from 1 species
GGAUGAGCCCGCGGCCUAUCAGCUUGUUGGUGGGGUAAUGGCCUACCAAGGCGACGACGGGUAGCCGGCCUGAGAGGGCGACCGGCCACACUGGGACUGAGACACGGCCCAGACUCCUACGGGAGGCAGCAGUGGGGAAAAUUGCACAAUGGGCGGAAGCCUGAUGCAGCGACGCCGCGUGGGGGAUGACGGCCUUCGGGUUGUAAACCCCUUUCGCCCGGGACGAAGCGAGAGUGACGGUACCGGGAGAAGAAGCACCGGCCAACUACGUGCCAGCAGCCGCGGCCGAAGCCG